rnacentral:misc_RNA from 1 species
UUUCCGUAGGUGAACCUGCGGAAGGAUCAUUAACACUUUUUUUAAAUUUUAUGAAGUAAAUUUAUUUACUUCAUAAAUACAACUUAUGCGAACUUGUUAAAGUCUUUUAAUAGUAUUUAAAAAUUAUUGUAUUUUUUUUUGGGAAAAAUAUAUUCUUUUUUUAAAAAAUAAUACGACUUUUAGCAAUGGAUAUCUUGGCUCUUGCAUCGAUGAUGAACGCAGC